GACGUAGGGCGCGAGCGUUGUCCGGAUUUAUUGGGCGUAAAGAGCUCGUAGGCGGCUUGUCGCGUCGACUGUGAAAACUCGGGGCUCAACUCCGAGCUUGCAGUCGAUACGGGCAGGCUAGAGUUCGGUAGGGGAGACUGGAAUUCCUGGUGUAGCGGUGAAAUGCGCAGAUAUCGGGAGGAACAUCAGUGGCGAAGGCGGCCUUCUGGUCCAGUACUGACACUCAAGUGCGAAAGCGUGGGGAGCAAACAGG
rnacentral:rRNA from 1 species